rnacentral:lncRNA from 1 species
AGCUCCUGGGCUCAGACCUGUCCAGCCAGCCUGGCCCCAGCCCCCGGCCCCGCAGGAGGCGGCCCGAAGCGGGGGACCUUCCUCCCCAAGGUGACCCAGACCCUCCUCGGGGCCUCGCCCGCGGCUGGCGGCUCAGCUGCUCUCUGGCAUCUUUCCAUUCAAGGGCUCCAGGGGUCCGGUCCGCGCUAAACCGAGGAAAGGGAGUUGGCGUCGGUCACACACUCCGACUGCCGCCGGGUCCCUCUUUCCUCUCACUGCCCUCGCUGGGGACCCCUGGGGGAGACGGGUCCUGUGAGGAGCAAGUGUUCUUUCCCUUGGCACAAUGAAACCUGGAAAAUGAAACUGGAGGAUGCUGCUUAUCACCAAAAAGCCUGAUCUGGAACUCACUAUGUGAAUCAGGCUGGCCUCCAACUCACGAUGACCCUCCUACCUCAGCCUCCUGAGUGCUGGGUUACAGCUGACCUGGUGAGCUGCCCAGUCCUGUUCUCUCCUUGUACAGCCGCGGAAAGAAAAAGCACUACCAGAGCUGCAAAGCAGGCCAACAACGGAGCCUUCGCAGCUUCACCUGCUGAUCAUCAGCCGACCGCUGCAUCAUUUGGGUCCCAAGUGGGACCUGAGUGGAUUAUAACACGGGAGCGGAGCAGCCGGAGGGAAGUCACACAUCACGCAGUUUUAGCAGAUGUGCAGCAAGGGACACCCCUGUGAACGCCGAGGAGCCUGGGUCUGUUAGUGAGGCUUAGAUGAGAAUCCAGUACUGUCCAGCUCCAGCAUGAAGAGCCACCCCGUAAACACAUGACAUCAGGCUCUGAGUCUAGAGAAGGCAGAAUGCCCUCAAGGAGCGUUUGAUUACUCAGUCAGCUCCAGAUACUAGGACAAAGCUCCAGAAAGGUCCACUAGGCCCACAGACCGAACUAAGUUGAUGCAGCUUAUUCAGCCUUUCACAGUGUGAUGAAGUGGAGGGCAAAUGAAAGUUGAAUAGGGAAGGCGGGUGGGCUCAAGCCGUGCUCACUUUCGGUAAUAAGGAUCACACUGGGGAGACCACGGCCCUCGAACCACGGCAGAAGCAAGCCAGAGUGCUUCCCGGGCAGAGGCUGGGGCCCCGGGUGGAGGAAAAGCGCUGGCCUGUGAGCGACAGCCACUACAGCGCUCCUAGUCCAGGAAGCGUCUAAGGGAACCUUGGUGUUACUGGCAGCUGAGUUAGAAAGAAAUAUUUGUUUGUUUGUUUUUUGUCUUUUUGAGACAACGUCUCCCUAUGCAGUUCAGGCUGACUGUGAGCUCCCUUUGUACCCCAGGCUGGUCUCGAACUUGAGACGAUCCUUCUACCUCAGCCUCCCGAGUGCUGGGAUUACAGUGUGUGCCACCACGCCCAGCUUAGAUGGAAAUAUUGUAGGCAGUCAGACACCGCCAGGCCCUGGAAGGAGCCAACAUGAAAGACAAGAUAAGAUGCUUAUUUGCUGUGGGCCAGACCUCAAGACCAAAGGACUAAACAAAUGCACCCACAGACCUCCCUAGGUGUGAACAUCAGGAUUUGAUAUUCUAAGUAGGUAUCGAUCAUCUUGAAGAGUCCCUGACCCAACCCCUCACAGGAAAAUCCCCUGUUCUGUAUUCAUGGCCGCUUGCUACGUGACUCGCUUCCCCAUUUGAUCCUGAUGUAAUCAAUUUUACCUGAACAAUUCUUAUUGGUUGACCAUAGUUUUGUCCAUUUUCUCCUACCUUAGACUCGCCUCGCCUCGUGGUUUUGCUCUAUAAAAGUCCCUAGAAAAGACCGAAUCUUGGGGCAAUCCACUCGCCCCCCCCCCCACUUCUGUCCCUCUCUUGGGCAGAAGCUUUCUUUUCUUUCCCUCAAUAAAUAUAUUCUGCUCUUAACCUCCAUUGUUCCUAAAAUUCAUUCUUCGAUUUUUGAGAACAUGAACUCAU